rnacentral:snRNA from 1 species
AUUCAUACCUUGUAGGGGAGAUACCAUGUCGUAAAAAUGGGUUUCCCAGGGAGAGGCUCAUCCAUUGCACUUUGGGUGUGGUGUUGACCCCAGUGAUUUCCCCAAAUGUGGGGAACUCAACUACACAAUUUGUAUUAAUGAGGGCAUUAUGGUUUGUGAUUUCUCUGU